CAGACUCAUAAUUCAUGCUCUGCAAAGAGCUUCCUUUACAAAACACUUGCUUGCAAGAACAGGAAAAGACAUAUGGUCACACGAGGUAUUUUGUAUAAAUCAGUUUUCCAGUAAAGUUAAUUCACAAUCAUGCCUUAAAUGUGGAAAAAAAAAAUGCUGAAAUAUGAAGAUAAAUCAUUUUAAAUUCAAAGGAAUAUUAACUGAAAUGUUAUCAGUCAAACGCACCUGCUUUACUGUCACGUUUGAAUAAAGGUAAAGAGGUUAAGGGCAAAUACACUCUGUGGUGAAUUAUGGUGGUUUUUGCUCUCAGAUUGCAUGACAGAGCAUCUGAUGGAUAUUGCUCAACAAUUAUGGUAAGAGCUGGUGGUAAUAGAGUUCAAAUUUGAUUGGUUUGCUUUCCAGGAGUGAUAGUGCACUUGUUUUAAUCAUUCUGCUGGGAAACAAAGGCAUUUGCAAGUUACAAUUGACCAUAUCCAUGGAAGAGCACGAUGCUACAUUCGCCAAAAUUUGCAAGGUUUGGGAAAAAUUGAAGAAUUGACUCCCCUUCAGUUUGUCAGUGUGAAACUGAAUUAAAUUGGCUACACUUCCAAGACAUCCAACAGAGCGGGCCACGGGUUUUAUUGCAUCCACUGAAAAUGGAUAUUUAACAAAUCGUUGAACACAUUUUUAUGUGGCCGUAGGCUGUGGCAAAGAAGAGCAGCGAAAUUCAUAAGGCUCACUGCUACACGUGGGUGGGAAAUAUAUUUUAUGAAAAAAAAAAAAAAUCACAGACUGCACUUUCUUCUUUGCAGGGGUUUUAGGAUAGCGAGAGGACAGGAAAUGAUUGGAGGAAGAGAAGGAAAUGGGAACUCAAACUCCAGCAGAUUUGCUGAUGGUUGUUCACCAGAUACACCACUGUCAAACCAGAACAAACAAGCAUGAAAUUAAGGCUUUUCUAAGCCAGGGCUAAUAUAAGAGGCUUUUGCACCGGUAGUUAUAGGAACUCAAUUAUAAGAACUAGUCACCAGGAGGGUUCUCCAAGAACGAAAUUUUCCCCUAGGGCCAUUUUCCUGGUUGCAAAAGGCUUUUGCACCGUGCAGUUCUAGGAACUUGGUUCUGAGUUCAGUUCCCAGAGAACCAGUUUUCUCCUCAGUCCAUUUUCCUGGUUGCACUCACGCCUGCAGCAGGAACUCUGAAGCAGCCUACAGCGACUUUAUGCUAAAAUUUACAAAGGUCAGCAACCAGUGAAUGGGGGACACCGUGAUCGGAGCAGUUUUUGUUGUGUGUCGUGGAUUUCAUGAUAAUGGAGAAGGAAUGUAAACACACAAUUUACGCACCUGAAAGAGCAUGAAAAUCUGACUAAAUCUCUUAUGAUAAUUUGCAAUGUUACAUAUCAUCAAGGCUGAGAAAAGAACACAGUUCUUGGCUAAAUGCCAUUGUUGCUGGUUUACAUGUUUGUGGAGUAAAUAUUUUUACUGAUCCAUAUGACGCCACUGAAUCAAUCAUGAACUGACUUUAACUAACAAAAUUUGAGUGUUUACUAUUGUCCUUUUGCAUUAUCGACACACUGUUUUCCUAUUUAACACUGUAAAGCUGCUUUGAAACAAUCUGUAUUGUUAAAGGGCUAUAUAAAUAAAGGUGAGCUGACUUGACUUGACUUAAAAUCC
ensembl:lncRNA